GACGAACGCUGGCGGCGUGCUUAACACAUGCAAGUCGAACGGUAGGGCCCUUCGGGGUACACGGGUGGCGAACGGGUGAGUAACACGUGGGUGAUCUGCCCUGCACUUCGGGAUAAGCCUGGGAAACUGGGUCUAAUACCGGAUAGGACUCCGGACUGCAUGGUCUGGGGUGGAAAGCUUUUGCGGUGUGGGAUGGGCCCGCGGCCUAUCAGCUUGUUGGUGGGGUGAUGGCCUACCAAGGCGACGACGGGUAGCCGGCCUGAGAGGGUGACCGGCCACACUGGGGCUGAGAUACGGCCCAGACUCCUACGGGAGGCAGCAGUGGGGAAUAUUGCACAAUGGGCGCAAGCCUGAUGCAGCGACGCCGCGUGAGGGAUGACGGCCUUCGGGUUGUAAACCUCUUUCAGCAUCGACGAAGCGAAAGUGACGGUAGGUGCAGAAGAAGGACCGGCCAACUACGUGCCAGCCGCCGCGGUAA
rnacentral:rRNA from 1 species